GCUAAUACCGCAUACGCCCUACGGGGGAAAGCAGGGGAUCUUUUGACCUUGCACUAAUGGAUGAGCCUAGGCCGGAUUAGCUAGUUGGUAGGGUAAAGGCCUACCAAGGCUACGAUCUGUAGCUGGUCUGAGAGGAUGACCAGCCACACUGGAACUGAGACACGGUCCAGACUCCUACGGGGGGCAGCAGUGGGGAAUAUUGGACAAUGGGCGCAAGCCUGAUCCAGCCAUGCCGCGUGUGUGAAGAAGGCCUUCGGGUUGUAAAGCACUUUAAGCGAGGAGGAAAGUUUAUAGGUUAAUACCCUAUAGAAUUGACGUUACUCGCAGAAUAAGCACCGGCUAACUCUGUGCCAGCAGCCGCGGUAAUACAGAGGGUGCAAGCGUUAAUCGGAAUUACUGGGCGUAAAGCGCGCGUAGGCGGUUUGUUAAGUCGGAUGUGAAAUCCCUGGGCUCAACCUAGGCACUGCAUCCGAUACUGGCUAACUAGAGUGUGGGAGAGGAAGGUAGAAUUCCAGGUGUAGCGGUGAAAUGCGUAGAGAUCUGGAGGAAUACCGAUGGCGAAGGCAGCCUUCUGGCCUAACACUGACGCUGAGGUGCGAAAGCAUGGGGAGCAAACAGGAUUAGAUACCCUGGUAGUCCAUGCUGUAAACGAUGUCAACUAGCCGUUGGGGACCUCGAGUCUUUAGUGGCGCAGCUAACGCGAUAAGUUGACCGCCUGGGGAGUACGGUCGCAAGACUAAAACUCAAAUGAAUUGACGGGGGCCCGCACAAGCGGUGGAGCAUGUGGUUUAAUUCGAUGCAACGCGAAGAACCUUACCUGGCCUUGACAUGUCUGGAAUCUUGUAGAGAUACGAGAGUGCCUUCGGGAAUCAGAACACAGGUGCUGCAUGGCUGUCGUCAGCUCGUGUCGUGAGAUGUUGGGUUAAGUCCCGCAACGAGCGCAACCCUUUUCUUUAUUUGCCAGCGCGUAAUGGUGGGAACUCUAAAGAUACUGCCGGUGACAAACCGGAGGAAGGCGGGGACGACGUCAAGUCAUCAUGGCCCUUACGGCCAGGGCUACACACGUGCUACAAUGGUUGGUACAGAGGGUUGCUACCCCGCGAGGGCAUGCUAAUCUCACAAAGCAAUCGUAGUCCAGAUUGGAGUCUGCAACUCGACUCUAUGAAGUCGGAAUCGCUAGUAAUCGCGGAUCAGAAUGUCGCGGUGAAUACGUUCCCGGGCCUUGUACACACCGCCCGUCACACCAUGGGAGUUUGUUGCACCAGAAGUAGUUAGCCUAACCGCAAGGAGGGCGAUUACCACGGUGU
rnacentral:rRNA from 1 species